UGAGCAGGUGCAGUGAAGGAGCCCAGAAAUU
rnacentral:piRNA from 1 species